GGGGCAGCGGAGGCAGUAGCAAUACUGCCUGCCGGCGACCGGCGCACGGGUGAGUAACACGUAUGCAACCUACCCUUGUCAGGGGGAUAAGCCGGAGAAAUCCGGUCUAAUACCGCGUGACAUCGGGAUUCCGCAUGGGAUUCCGAUCAAAGGAGCAAUCCGGACAAGGAUGGGCAUGCGGCGCAUUAGCUAGUUGGCGGGGUAACGGCCCACCAAGGCGACGAUGCGUAGGGGUUCUGAGAGGAAGGCCCCCCACACUGGUACUGAGACACGGACCAGACUCCUACGGGAGGCAGCAGUGAGGAAUAUUGGUCAAUGGGCGCGAGCCUGAACCAGCCAAGUCGCGUGAGGGAAUAAGGUCCUAUGGAUUGUAAACCUCUUUUGUCGGGGAGCAAUGAGCGUCACGCGUGAUGCGUUGAGAGUACCCGAAGAAAAAGCAUCGGCUAACUCCGUGCCAGCAGCCGCGGUAAUACGGAGGAUGCGAGCGUCAUCCGGAUUUAUUGGGUUUAAAGGGUGCGUAGGCGGGGAGCCAAGUCAGCGGUAAAAUCGUGGGGCUCAACCCCAUCCCGCCGUUGAAACUGGUUUUCUUGAGUGGAUGAGAAGUAUGCGGAA
rnacentral:rRNA from 1 species